UGGUGGCGACCGGCGCACGGGUGAGUAACGCGUACGCAACCCAUCUAUCAGAGGGGAAUAACCCGGCGAAAGUCGGACUAAUACCGCAUAAAACAGGGACACCGCAUGGUGAUAUUUGUUAAAGAAAUUCGCUGAUAGAUGGGCAUGCGUUCCAUUAGGUAGUUGGUGAGGUAACGGCUCACCAAGCCGACGAUGGAUAGGGGAACUGAGAGGUUGGUCCCCCACACUGGUACUGAGACACGGACCAGACUCCUACGGGAGGCAGCAGUGAGGAAUAUUGGUCAAUGGGCGAGAGCCUGAACCAGCCAAGUCGCGUGAAGGAAGAAGGAUCUAUGGUUCGUAAACUUCUUUUGCAGGGGAAUAAAGUGCAGGACGUGUCCUGUUUUGUAUGUACCCUGAGAAUAAGGAUCGGCUAACUCCGUGCCAGCAGCCGCGGUAAUACGGAGGAUCCGAGCGUUAUCCGGAUUUAUUGGGUUUAAAGGGUGCGUAGGUGGUUUGAUAAGUCAGCGGUGAAAGUUUGCAGCUUAACUGUAAAAAUGCCGUUGAAACUGUCGGACUUGAGUGUAAAUGAGGUAGGCGGAAUGCGUGGUGUAGCGGUGAAAUGCUUAGAUAUCACGAAGAACUCCGAUUG
rnacentral:rRNA from 1 species